AUGAUCCAUAAAAAUUCACAUAUGCAAAUAUUUCUGCUCAGUAGUCCUGGGCGCGUGCUUAAACUUUGGUGGUCAACUCUUGUUGAUAUACAGAUUCUGAGUGUUCUGAUUGUAAAGAUAUGCCUUCCAUACCUCAUAACUACUUCACUCUCUUCUAGGAGUGUUAUAUAUAUGCAUGUGAUAUUCACUAAACUUUUUCUCAUUGCCCAUUACUUCACAUGCAAUAUAACCUAUGUAAGUCAUCUAUCUACUGAUUCUGUUAUACCAAGCUUCCCUUCUUGCUCUACUUAUUAUAGUAUGUACUUUCUGUCAUGA
rnacentral:rRNA from 1 species